UAAUUUCGCUAUUUCAGAGCG
rnacentral:piRNA from 1 species